GUUAAAACUCAAAUGAAUUGACGGGGGCCCGCACAAGCGGUGGAGCAUGUGGUUUAAUUCGAUGCAACGCGAAGAACCUUACCUGGUCUUGACAUCCACGGAAGUUUUCAGAGAUGAGAAUGUGCCUUCGGGAACCGUGAGACAGGUGCUGCAUGGCUGUCGUCAGCUCGUGUUGUGAAAUGUUGGGUUAAGUCCCGCAACGAGCGCAACCCUUAUCCUUUGUUGCCAGCGGUCC
rnacentral:rRNA from 2 species